rnacentral:lncRNA from 1 species
GUGAAAGUCACCAGGAAAGAGGAACCUGGGGGCCAGGGGACUGCAAGGCGGCGCAGGCCAGCACCACGUCGAGUGCCUGGGUUGCUCAGCACCAUCGGAGCAGCCCAGGGGGUUGUGUUCGCCUCCCAGGAGGCCAAGGGCGACCCCAGGGACUUGCAGAUAAGAGUCUUGCUAAUUAUUGUCCAGGCUGGACUCAAACUUGUGAUCCUUCUGCCUCGAGCUCCAGAAAGAGUGUUGCAAAGGAAAACACCAAAUGUUUGAGAAGUUGUGUCGUGAUCGUGUGGAUACAGGUGUUGUCAUUGAUAGAGAAGUGCUACACAAUAAGACAGGCCCUUGCCUCGCCUCCAUUUGUUUUCCACAGAAUGUUUUCUUUGGACAUGUAAGUUUGUGCUGCUGGGCUCCUGCCCAAUGUAUCAAAAUGGUUUGUGGCUGUUUGAACUGUGUGACCUUUCAGGAAUGUUCUGUUAAACUCUGCCCCCUCACAAGAAGGUUCUGUUAAGCUCCGCUCCCUCUCAGUAAUGUUCUGUAACUCCGCCCCUUUGCUUCAGGAAUGUUCUGUAACUCUUCCUCCUGCUUCAUUGAGCAUGCUGGCCUACCCUGUAUAUCCCUAUAUAAGGAGGCUCUCAUUUCUGGUAGAGCACUCAAGACUCCUCUGAGCCCACCAGGAUUUGCUGGUGUAAUAAAGGUUUUUAUCUCCACCUCUUCAACUGACCAUCAGAUUCUUGAGUCUUCAAAUUAUGAGAGCUGUGACGCAGAGCUGCCACACUGAGCUGUAAAGUUCAGCUGUGCCUCAGAGCUGUAACACUUGGCUAUAGCACUGAACUAUUCUGCUCCGCCCAAACAUCAUCUUGUUAUUGGUUCAAACUUCAUGGAAAGAAAACUUACCCACCACCCCAAGGCUUUGUUCCUCCUUCAUCUUCUUAUCUCUGCGCCAGUGGGGAAACUGUGUCAUCCUUUGGGUCAUCAAGAGUGGCAGGGUCACUCUUGGCAGCUCUUGGU